rnacentral:rRNA from 1 species
UACGUAGGGGGCAAGCGUUGUCCGGAAUUAUUGGGCGUAAAGCGCGCGCAGGCGGUUUGGAAAGUCGGAUGUGAAAACUCGGGGCUCACCCCCGAGCCUGCAUACGAAACUUCCAGACUUGAGAGCAGGAGAGGGAAGUGGAAUUCCUAGUGUAGCGGUGAAAUGCGUAGAUAUUAGGAGGAACACCAGUGGCGAAGGCGACUUCCUGGCCUGUAACUGACGCUGAGGCGCGAAAGCGUGGGUAGCAAAC